GAUGAACGCUGGCGGCGUGCCUAAUACAUGCAAGUCGAGCGAACAGAUGAGGAGCUUGCUCCUCUGACGUUAGCGGCGGACGGGUGAGUAACACGUGGAUAACCUACCUAUAAGACUGGGAUAACUUCGGGAAACCGGAGCUAAUACCGGAUAAUAUAUUGAACCGCAUGGUUCAAUAGUGAAAGACGGUUUUGCUGUCACUUAUAGAUGGAUCCGCGCCGUGUUAGCUAGUUGGUAAGGUAACGGCUUACCAAGGCAACGAUGCGUAGCCGACCUGAGGGGGUGAUCGCCCACACUGGACGUGAGCCACGGUCCAGACUCCGACGGGAGGCAGCAGUAGGGAAGCGUCCGCAAUGUGCGAAAGCCUGCCGGAGCAACGCCGCGUGGGUGAUGAAGCGCUGCGGAUCGUAAAACGCUGUUAUUAGGGAAGAACAAAUGUGUAAGUAACUAUGCACGUCUGGACGGUACCGAAACAGAAAGCCACGGCUAACUACGU
rnacentral:rRNA from 1 species